UGGGGAAUAUUGGACAAUGGACCAAGAGUCUGAUCCAGCAAUUCUGUGUGCACGAUGACGUUUUUCGGAAUGUAAAGUGCUUUCAGUUGGGAAGAAGAAAUGACGGUACCAACAGAAGAAGUGACGGCUAAAUACGUGCCAGCAGCCGCGGUAAUACGUAUGUCACGAGCGUUAUCCGGAUUUAUUGGGCGUAAAGCGCGUCUAGGUGGUUAUGUAAGUCUGAUGUGAAAAUGCAGGGCUCAACUCUGUAUUGCGUUGGAAACUGUGUAACUAGAGUACUGGAGAGGUAAGCGGAACUACAAGUGUAGAGGUGAAAUUCGUAGAUAUUUGUAGGAAUGCCGAUGGGGAAGCCAGCUUACUGGACAGAUACUGACGCUGAAGCGCGAAAGCGUGGGUAGCAAACAGGAUUAGAUACCCUGGUAGUCCACGCCGUAACGAUGAUUACUAGGUGUUGGGGGUCGAACCUCAGCGCCCAAGCAAACGCGAUAAGUAAUCCGCCUGGGGAGUACGUACGCAAGUAUG
rnacentral:rRNA from 1 species